rnacentral:rRNA from 1 species
UACGUAGGGUGCGAGCGUUAAUCGGAAUUACUGGGCGUAAAGCGCGUGUAGGCGGUCUUGCAAGUCGGGUGUGAAAGCCCUGGGCUCAACCCAGGAAGUGCACUCGAUACUGCGAGACUAGAGUAUCGAAGAGGUUGGUGGAAUUCUCGGUGUAGAGGUGAAAUUCGUAGAUAUCGAGAGGAACACCGGUGGCGAAGGCGGCCAACUGGACGAAUACUGACGCUGAGACACGAAAGCGUGGGGAGCAAACAGG